AAGACUAUAGACCUGCGGAGUACCUGCGGAGGGAUCAUUACCGAGUUUACAACUCCCAAACCCCCUGUGAACCUAUACCCUUACACCGUUGCUUCGGCGGGUCUUCGCCCCGGGCUCCAGGCCACGCUCCCCCCCAGGCCACGCUCCUCCCCCUCUCGCGGGGGGCGGGCCGGCCCGGAACCAGGCGCCCGCCGGGGGACCACAAGCUCUGUGUUAUUACUUCUGGCAUGUCUGAGUGGA
rnacentral:misc_RNA from 1 species